UUUAAAGGCAUUAAACAGCACAUCAAUGUACAUUUCAAUUAGACUAAAUAAUAAUGCUAUGAUUUUAUCGGUAGUAACUUUACUUAUUAACUUGAAUUAUUUCUUUCUUUUACUUCAUGUUAGGAAGAGUAUCUUUUUGCUCGAAAUAAAAAAUUGAUAUAGGAGUAAUAAUAUGGAUAGAGAUCAAAAACUGUUAGGGCAGAAAUUACACGUUUGAACUUUAUAGUUCAGUAUAGUUCAAAUAGAAAUUAUAUAGAAUUAUUUAAUAAUUUGUAUUCCACUGGAAUAAAAAUUUAAUUUCUGUCUUUAUCAAAUCUCUAUUUCAGAGUAUUUGUACGUAUGUACUUAUCGUCUGCUGUAUGAUCGAAUAUCGAAUAGGUAAUAAUCGUUGUUACUCGUUAUGUGAGAAAAAAUUAUGUAUAUUCACAACUAUGACUAUUGCAUUUUAGGCGUUUGGCCAUGGAUCGUUGCAUUAGGUUUUCGUAAUCCCCGAAACCCAGACAAACCACUAUGGAAGUGCGGAGGUUCCCUGAUAUCGGCUAGGCAUGUUUUGACCGCAGCACAUUGUGCACAUAUGGAUGGAAUAGAAAACAUACACAAUCAUAAUAUUGCCAUUCUUAGAUUGGUGGAGGAGGUGCCAUUUUCGAGGUACGUAUAUCCCAUUUGUACGAAAGAGCUCCUGCGAAAGAGCAACUUCGUCGGCUAUAACCCCCUUGUUGCUGGAUGGGGAGCAUUAAGAUAUAGACGACCACGACGUAAUGCAUUAAUGGAAGUACAAAUGCCAGUGAUUAAGAACGCCGAAUGCAAAAUAGCUUAUUCCAAAUUUCCUAAUGCACCUGAUGUCACUGAUGGUAUAAUAUGCGCCGAACGUGCUCAGGGUGGAAAGGAUUCUUGUACGGUAAUUAAGUUACAGAGUUACUACAAACUAUACGGUAUCUGAAGACACGUCAAUUCGAAUUAACAUCAAAUCGACGUCUUAAACAUUAAAAAUAAUAGAUAAACACAAUUUAAUAGUUUUGCCCACUUCUCACACCUCGUUAUGGCUGACCGCGGCGGACCACUGCUGAUACAACAUGAAUUAACCUCGUAUUUAAUAGGUAUUGUGUCUUAUGCUUAUAAGUGCGGCACAGCUGGGUAUCCCAGCGUUUACACUAGGGUCACAUCGUACCUUGACUUCAUUCUCCAAGCGAUGCAAUAAUAUGAUAUUACUGUUCCAUAAAUAUCAUUGUGUAAAAAACGUAAAGUUGGAUUUUCUUAUUGUGGAGAUAAGAAACAGCUCAAAUUUACAUUGUUUUGUACGUUACAAAUUAUAGGCUUAAAAUGUACGAAAUGUAACUUUGAAACGACACUAAUUUUUUACGCACGAUAAACCUCCACGACUUAGAUUAUAGAUUCCUAUACGACUCUCAGUAAAAAUUUAUCCGCACUCCAGAUAGUUAAAACUUCUGUCGACCGUAUUGAUCCAUCUGCACUCUUCGUAUGACGUCAAUAUCUGUUCAGUGCUGCUGCGCAGGUUUCUUUGUGUUACGUCAAUUCGUUUGUGACCGUUGCGCGAGUAAUGGCGCUUUGCAAUGGUGAUUUGCAGGAAAACAGUGCAGGAUGCUGUGAUUCGUUUCUUGUGGUCGGAGGUUAUGUUUGAUGCCUAUAUUUAUCAAAGAUUUAAUGCACAUUAUGGAGAAAGUGUUUUGUCACGAAGUGUGUUUGAAUGGGCACAAAAGUUCAAAGAAGAUCGCACGAGUGUUAUGAAAAAACAGCUGGACGCCCGUCCACAUCCACGAUGACAACAUUGAACGUGCUCAUGAACUUAUGCUCUAUGGAAUAGACGAGUGACACUGGAUAAUGUGGCAAAUCAUUUGCAAAUCAGCCACGGCUCUGCUUAUGCAAUAGUGCACGACAGAUUUGGGUUUUAAAAAGUUUGUGCGAGAUGGAUGCCGAAAAAGCUGAUGAAAAGGUGAAGACGACGAUGCAUUCGUGGUUCGCAGCUCAGCCCAAAACAUUUUUUAAUGAGAAAAUACGAAGGUCCUUCGGCAAAUGGACAAAGUGUAUACAGAAAUUGAGUGAUUAUGUCAAAAAAUGAUGUAUGUCUUUUUUGACAAUUGCUUAAAAUAAAUUCUACACCGACA